GCAAGUCGAGCGGCAGCGCGGGGCAACCUGGCGGCGAGCGGCGAACGGGUGAGUAACAUAUCGGAACGUAUCCAUAAGUGGGGGACAACCUAGCGAAAGUUAGGCUAAUACCGCAUACGCUCGAGAGAGGAAAGUGGGGGAUCGCAAGACCUCACGCUUUAGGAGCGGCCGAUAUCCGAUUAGCUAGAUGGUGAGGUAAAGGCUUACCAUGGCGACGAUCGGUAGCUGGUCUGAGAGGAUGAUCAGCCACACUGGGACUGAGACACGGCCCAGACUCCUACGGGAGGCAGCAGUGGGGAAUUUUGGACAAUGGGGGCAACCCUGAUCCAGCCAUUCCGCGUGAGUGAAGAAGGCCUUCGGGUUGUAAAGCUCUUUUGUUCGGGACGAAACGGUUUUGGUGAAUACCCAAGACUACUGACGGUACCGGAGGAAUAAGCACCGGCUAACUACGUGCCAGCAGCCGCGGUAAUACGUAGGGUGCGAGCGUUAAUCGGAAUUACUGGGCGUAAAGCGUGCGCAGGCGGUUUUAUAAGCCAGAUGUGAAAGCCCCGGGCUCAACCUGGGAAUGGCAUUUGGGACUGUAAGGCUGGAGUAUGGCAGAGGAGACUAGAAUUCCUGGUGUAGCAGUGAAAUGCGUAGAUAUCAGGAGGAAUACCGAUGGCGAAGGCAGGUCUCUGGGCCAAUACUGACGCUCAUGCACGAAAGCGUGGGGA
rnacentral:rRNA from 1 species